ensembl:ncRNA lncRNA:CR44058 long non-coding RNA:CR44058
AAUUCAAACUGUAUAAUUCGAAUUUGUCUUAGAAUUUCGAUUUCAAUCAGCAGUAUUGGGUAUUAUUCGAGAUGAUUCGGCUGAAAAUGGAACUGAAGGGAAGUAAUCAAUCGACUAAUAACGCCCCUGGCUAACAUUUGCUAUCCAUUUGCAAAUCGCCCCACCUGACGGACUGGCCAAGUUGCGCAGCAUGUCCUUUUGCAAUAUCAACGUUAGUGGCAAACAACAAAAUUAGUCAGCAAAACAUGGCCGCCCUGCAAUUAGCAUCAUGAGCACCAUGCAAUUUUGAUGACCAAAUUGCCAUAAACCGGUCACUGACACAUACUCCGCAGUCUGGUCUCCGAAAGUCCGGAGGACACUGUACUCAACGGGGCGAUAAUCAUGGAACACUGCACCGCACGCUGAUGCCAAUCAAAAUUCAAAAUUUCGACAGUCCGUAUAUGGCCGUAUGCGGCGACCACGCCCCCCUUCUGUCUACCCAAACAAAGGGGGCGGGCGCAGCAGAGCGUGGCUACGUCGAUAAGUCACGGACAAAAUGGUCAAAUGUCAGAGGAGCAACGCGGUUGAGAUCAUCGGACCGACCACUGGGGCGGUCUCUACACUGGUAAAAAAUGCAUCGUCGAAUUUCAGGUCACUCGUAGUAUUAAGCAGAUAACACAUGCAAAUAGGCGUCCGGGAAUAUUCAGAAGUCUGUGCGCGUGGUUAAAGUGCAGUUUCGGUGACUUGAAAGCGCGUAAGAGUCCGCACACAUCCGACGGUGGUGGGUGUUUUUGGGUUGCGAACUGAAGGUGGAGAUGGUGCAUAAAACUCCAUUAGAGCCAUAAAAGUUAAAAGCAUUUCGCCUGGCAACUGGCAACUGCCAACUGCAGAUUCCCGACUCGACGCUUCGGGCCCCAGACUCUAGGAUUCAGACUCCAGCAUCCAGCAUCCAGUAUCCAGAAUCCAGACUGUCGACUGCCAAGAGCCGGGAGCGUUCGUUCGAUUGUUGCUGCUCAGUGAUUGGAAAUGGAGGAGGACUGGGGCAGGACAGGGUCUGUUCGGAUGGCAUUCGACGGGUAAUGGCAAACGCAAACGAAAUACAAUAAAAAUAAAACGAGUAAGCGAAAAGAAAACGUUUGCCGGCUGGAGUGGGUUCUGUGAGUAGGAAGACGACGCAUUAACCAAACACCGUGAGUGCCAGAGGCAAC